rnacentral:rRNA from 1 species
ACCUGACUGCUAUCGGAUUGGUACUAAGCCAUGCGAGUCAUUGUAGCAAUACAAGGCGGACGGCUCAGUAACACGUAGUCAACCUAACUCGUGGACGUGGAUAACCUCGGGAAACUGAGAAUAAACCACGAUAGAUCAUAGUGCCUGGAAUGGCUUAUGGUCCAAACAGUUUACUGCCAUGGGAUGGGACUGCGGCCUAUCAGCUUGUUGGUGAGGUAAUGGCCCACCAAGGCGAUUACAGGUACGGGCUCUGAGAGGAGAAGCCCGGAGAUGGGUACUGAGACACGGACCCAGGCCCUAUGGGGCGCAGCAGGCGAGAAACCUUAGCAAUGUGCGAAAGCACGACUGGGUCAGUCCGAGUGAUUCCUGAUAAAGGAGUCUUUUGCCUGUCCUAAAAGCACAGGUGAAUAAGGGGUGGGCAAGUCUGGUGUCAGCCGCCGCGGUAAUACCAGCACCUCGAGUGGUCAGGACGUUUAUUGGGCCUAAAGCAUCCGUAGCCGGCUCUGCAAGUCUUCGGUUAAAUCCACCUGCUCAACAGAUGGGCCGCUGGAGAUACUACAGAGCUAGGGAGUGGGAGAGGCAGACGGUAUUCAGUGGGUAGGGGUAAAAUCCUCUGAUCCAUUGAGGACCACCAGUGGCGAAGGCGGUCUGCCAGAACACGUUCGACGGUGAGGGAUGAAAGCUGGGGGAGCAAACCGGAUUAGAUACCCGGGUAGUCCCAGCUGUAAACGAUGCAAACUCGGUGAUGCAUUGGCUUAUGGCCAAUGCAGUGCCGCAGGGAAGCCGUUAAGUUUGCCGCCUGGGAAGUACGGACGCAAGUUCUGAAACUUAAA